GUGUUAUCCCGUGUGCUUCCAGACUCUGACCCAUAUCUGCAUUUUAUUGAAAUGAAUUUGGCUACUAAAGACUGAUCCUGGGAUGACAUCUUAGAUAUUCCUUCACCAAAAAAUGCUCCUGCCUGUGGAUGGGACCACACCCCUCUGCUCAUGUCAGCAAGCCCAUAGCUGCAGGACUGCUGGUAACCAUGGGAUGUUCAGAAGCCAUUUGCAACUGAGUCAGAGAGGGAGGGAAUGGAGACUCAUGCUUAUGAGCAGCUUGUGUCAUGCAGGGGGUUGUCAUGUUCCCAGUAAACACACAACAAGGAAACUAUACCCUAAAGGCAUACUCUUUCCUUGCCAAAAAGCCCUUUUGGGAGUUUCCCAACACCCUUUUACAUUAGUCCAGAGCACAUUAUCAAUUUUUUUAAUUAAAAAAAAACUAAUGUAUUUAUUUUGUGUUUAUAUGUGUGCUUAUACAUGUGUGUUAGGGUACAUGUGUGUACAUGCAUGGAGAGGGCAGAAGUCAACCUCAGGUGUCAUUCCCCAGGAAAUAUCCACCUAAUUUCUUGAGACAGGGUCUCUCACUGGGACUUGGGGAUUUCUGAGGAGGCCAAGUUAACUGGCUAGUGAGCCCCAAGAAUCAUCCUUUUUGCCUUAGCCUUCCCACCAGUGGUGUGAUGAGCACCAGCCACCACACCCAGAUUUCUAAUAUAGGUGCAGGAGAUUGAGU
ensembl:lincRNA Gm42952 predicted gene 42952